GACGAACGCUGGCGGCGUGCUUAACACAUGCCAGUCGAACGGAAAGGCCCUGCUUUUGUGGGGUGCUCGAGUGGCGAACGGGUGAGUAACACGUGAGUAACCUGCCCUUGACUUUGGGAUAACUUCAGGAAACUGGGGCUAAUACCGGAUAGGAGCUCCUGCUGCAUGGUGGGGGUUGGAAAGUUUCGGCGGUUGGGGAUGGACUCGCGGCUUAUCAGCUUGUUGGUGGGGUAGUGGCUUACCAAGGCUUUGACGGGUAGCCGGCCUGAGAGGGUGACCGGCAAAAUGGGGUCUGGGAUACGGCCCAGACCCCUCGGGGGGGCAGCAGGGGGGAAAUUGGCAAAAGGGGGGGAAGCCGGAUGCAGCAACCCCGGGGGGGGGAUGACGGCCUUGGGGUUGAAAACCCCUUUCGCCUGGGACGAAGGGUGAGUGGCGGUAAUGGGAAAAGAAGCACCGGCUAACUACGU
rnacentral:rRNA from 1 species